CUAGCAUCCCACAUACCCCACCCCUAAAGUCAAAUUCCCUUAUCUUCUUUGCUGCACCAGAAAACACUCGCUCAUCUUCCUUUACUUUUUCUUUUCUUCUUCCUUUGCUCUAUCUGGCAGCACCUCUCUUUCACCCUCUCACCAAAAUCAUAAACAACUCUCUUUAAGAAGCAAUUAAGAGCCUAACACUAAGAUUUCAUCUUCAAAGUGUGUGGGUGGCGAGAACGAGAACACGGACACUUGAGCUCCUCAUGUACAAUCUCUCGCGCCUUUUGUUAUCAGUGUACAGGUUCUUCCUGGAAGCAACGAGAGUAUUAGAGGUGGCAAGAAUUCUGUGUUUUCUUGUUUGUUAGAAUGUAGAGUUUUGUUGUAUAGAAGGAAUCAAGAUGUACUUGAUCCUUUGAGCACAGAUGUAAUUCGGUAUCUUAGUUGUUCUAAACCCCAGUUGUAUGUCUUUGGGGUUAGGUUUGUAAUAAGAGUUUUGCUAAACUUUUAGCUAUGUAAUAUUUACAUGAAUACCUUAAGUUUCAGCCAGGUGGUAUUUUUCCAAGUUUGAAGGAAAUGAAAUUUUAGGGUUGCCAUCA